GUCAGGUUACUUCUCAAAUUAACUUCAUCUCAACAAAAACAAAGAAAAAAAGAGGAGGAGAAGAAAGAGAAGAAGCCAUAAUGACUCACUUGACAGCUCUUGCACCUGCUCGGGAGUGAGCUUGGCAAGGAACCCUCUUGCUGCAUGGGUGUAGUUGGAGAGCAGAGCUUCCUUUGCUGCCUCCUCGCUGCAAACCAAUCGUAACAUUGUCUUCAAGUUUCACAACUCUA
rnacentral:lncRNA from 1 species